GAGGAUGGCCAGCUUCAACCUGGAGAUCCCUGAAGCUUUGACCAAGGAGGUUGACAGUGAAGCGUUCCUAUUAGCGACUACAGCUAUCUAACCUUAGUUCCUCCUGCUGCAGUUUCGGUCCCUUUCUCCUCCUCCUCCAGCAACCACGCCCUCCAUGAAUCAGCUUCUUGCACCAGCAGAUGAGCCCUUUAAAGGGAUUGCAUCAGGGAUAACGCUUGGGGGAUCACUGUGAGGACUUGGAGUUAUGGAAACAGCUUUUUGCAAGACCCAGCGAAUGCUCAUACUCAUCUCAGUUAAAGGGCUUCAAUGAGGUGGGUGACCAAAAGACAGGCAUAAAGAAGGCCCCAGCCCACCAAGCUCCUCUCUCUGACAAAACAAAAAGCCUAGGGAUUCCGGAAGCUCUGACUCUGACAAAAAUGAGUUUUGGGUUUUCCAGAGCUCUAAUUAUCAGCUAGAUGAAUCACUCUGUGCUGACACCACCAUCCCUACCCCCAGGAGACUCUCAGCUGAUUGAAAAUACAGGAUUUUAACAAAGGAGAGGAAGAGAAACGGAAAGCUGGGAGGAGAAGAAGUAAUGAAUAGAAACCAAAGGUGUCAGCCAGAGGAAAUGAGAAACUGUCAUCAGGACACCAGCAUGAGGAGAACGCUGGGACACACACACACACACACACACUCUCACACUCACGCUGACAUACUCUUGCUGGCUCUCCAACUCUGGGCUUACUGGCAGACGGUGCUGCCAUAACAAAGUGUCGCCUGUCACAACAGCAUGAGAUCGUUGCUUGACGAGAUAUAGGCAGAUCUGCCUAUCACAGAAAGAGGGAAAGAGGCCUUCAACCCCUAGGGGCUUCCUCAGGCUUCUGAACCCCAGUCUCCCUUACUGGUUGGCUCUGGCUUCUCUUUGUCACCAAAUCGCAAGGCCUAAGUCUGGCAAAUUCGGAGUGUCAGACCUACACUCUGUGGCUAGGUACCACCACUGUGAUGAACAAAGGCACCCCUUAUCAUACUCUAUCAUCAGUAUGAUGCCAAGAGUGCUGGGAAACGGAAUAGCACGGUAGUUAAGAUCAUGGAGUUGGAAUCAUACAGACCUGAGUUCAAAUCCCCAUUCUGUUGUUCACCUUGAGCAGGUCACGUAACUUCUUUGAGCCUGUUUGCUCAUCUGUAAAAUGGUGCUAUUAAUAUAUGGGUUUUUUAUAAUGAUACAAUAAGAUUACUUUCAGGGCCGGGCACAGUGGCUCAAGCCUGUAAUCCCAGCACGUUGGGAGGCCAAGGUGGGUGGAUUGUCUGAGGUCAGAAGUUUGAGACCAGCCUGGCUAACAUGGCAAAACCCCAUCUCUACUAAAAAUACAAAAAUUAGCUGGGCGUG
ensembl:lncRNA